GAAAAUUCCAGGGAGCACUGUUUGAGCUGUUAUAAUUGAUCUCCUUGGUGUUCCAGGGUGUCCUCACGCCAGACCAGCGGUGCUGCUCCCAGUGUGGCCCAUGGGCUGAAGCUGGGCUGCAAACAGCUGCUGCUACGUGGAGGGAAGGUCCCUCUCCCAGGUCAUAAUCUUGUCUUCUACCAAGAAAAGAGAAGCAGCCAAAAGCAAC